GAUGAACGCUGGCGGCGUGCCUAAUACAUGCAAGUCGAGCGAAUGGAUUAAGAGCUUGCUCUUAUGAAGUUAGCGGCGGACGGGUGAGUAACACGUGGGUAACCUGCCCAUAAGACUAGGAUAACUCCGGGAAACCGGGGCUAAUACCGGAUAACAUUUUGAACCGCAUGGUUCGAAAUUGAAAGGCGGCUUCGGCUGUCACUUAUGGAUGGGCCCGGGUCGCAUUAGCUAGUUGGUGAGGUAACGGCUCACCAAGGCAACGAUGCGUAGCCGACCUGAGAGGGUGAUCGGCCACACUGGGACUGAGACACGGCCCAGACUCCUACGGGAGGCAGCAGUAGGGAAUCUUCCGCAAUGGACGAAAGUCUGACGGAGCAACGCCGCGUGAGUGAUGAAGGCUUUCGGGUCGUAAAACUCUGUUGUUAGGGAAGAACAAGUGCUAGUUGAAUAAGCUGACACCUUGACGGUACCUAACCAGAAAGCCACGGCUAACUACGUGCCAGCAGCCGCAGUAA
rnacentral:rRNA from 1 species